GAAAGUAAGCAAGGGCAGACGGUGGAUGCCUUGGCUCUCGGAGGCGAUGAAGGACGUGAUAAGCUGCGAUAAGCUUGGGGUAGGUGCAAAUAACCUUUGAUCCCAAGAUUUCCGAAUGGGGCAACCCGGCUGGUAGAAGGCCAGUCAUUCCGUAAGGAAGGCGAACGUGGGGAACUGAAACAUCUAAGUACCCAUAGGAGAAGAAAACAAAAGUGAUUCCGCAAGUAGUGGCGAGCGAACGCGGAACAGCCCAAACCGAUGAUGUUUAGGCAUUGUCGGGGUAGUAGGACCACGUUGUGGCAAGAGAUUAAGGAAGUAGAACGUUUUGGAACAAACGGCCGUAGACGGUGAAAGCCCAGUAUACGACUCUUUAACGAAGCCUAGUGGAAUCCUGAGUAGCGCGGAGCACGAGAAAUUCUGUGUGAAUCAGCGGGGCCCAUCCCGUAAGGCUAAAUACUCCCGAGAGACCGAUAGCGAACCAGUACUGUGAAGGAAAGGUGAAAAGCACCUCGAACAGAGGAGUGAAAUAGUCCCUGAAACCGUCUGCCUACAAGCGGUCGGAGCAACGUAAGUUGUGACGGCGUGCCUUUUGCAUAAUGAACCUACGAGUUACUUUCUCCGGCAAGGUUAAGGGCUUCAGGCCCGGAGCCGAAGCGAAAGCGAGUCUUAAUAGGGCGUGAUAGUCGGAGUGAGUAGACGCGAAACCAAGUGAUCUACCCUUGGUCAGGAUGAAGGUUGGGUAACACCAACUGGAGGUCCGAAUGGGUAUACGUUGAAAAGUGUUCCAAUGAACUGAGGGUAGGGGUGAAAGGCUAAUCAAACUUGGAGAUAGCUCGUACUCCCCGAAAUGCAUUUAGGUGCAGCCUUUAUUUAGUAUAGCAUGAGGUAGAGCGACUGAUUGGAUGCGAGGGCUUCACCGCCUAUCAAGUCCAGAUAAACUCCGAAUGCGUGCUAUAUAUUGAUAAGGAGUGAGGGCGCGGGUGCUAAGGUCCGCGUCCGAGAGGAGAAGAAUCCAGACCAUCAGCUAAGGUCCCCAAAUAACAGUUAAGUUGAACUAACGAAGUCGGACUGCAGAGACAGCUAGGAUGUUGGCUUGGAAGCAGCCAUUCAUUUAAAGAGUGCGUAACAGCUCACUAGUCGAGGAGUCCGGCGUGGAUAAUACUCGGGCAUAAACUGUUUACCGAAGCUAUGGAUGUAGAAAUACAUGGUAGGGGAGCAUUCCAACGGCGUCGAAGGUGAAGGAUGACCUUUGCUGGAGCUUUUGGAAACGCAAAUGUAGGUAUAAGUAACGAUAAAGGAGGUGAGAAACCUCCUCGCCGAAAGACUAAGGUUUCCUGAUCAACGUUAAUCGGAUCAGGGUAAGUCGGGACCUAAGGUUAAGCCGAACGGCGAUACCGAUGGAAGAAUGGUUUAAUAUUCCCAUACUACUUUAUGGAGCGAUGUGGAGACGGAGAAGUGAAAGUCCUGCCAUCUGACGGAAUAGGUGGUUGAAGAGUGUAGAUGUAGAUUCCUGUAGGCAAAUCCGCAGGGAGAGUCGACCUUGACAGUAUGCCGCGUGCUUGCACAAGGCAAAAUGGACGUAAUCAGGCUCCCAAGAAAAUCCGCUAAGCAUAUUCAUAAAGUACCCGUACCGUAAACGGACACACGUAGUUGGGUUGAAAAUACUGAGGCGCUCGAGUGAUUCACGGUUAAGGAACUAGGCAAAUUGACCCUGUAACUUCGGGAUAAAGGGUCCCUACUGAGAGGUAGGGCGCAGAGAAUAGGUCCAGGCAACUGUUUAACAAAAACACAUGGCUGUGCGAAAUAGAAAUAUGAAGUAUACAGCCUGACACCUGCCCGGUGCUGGAAGGUUAAGAGGAGAGCUCAUCGCAAGAGAAGGCUUGAAUUGAAGCCCCAGUAAACGGCGGCCGUAACUAUAACGGUCCUAAGGUAGCGAAAUUCCUUGUCGGGUAAGUUC
rnacentral:rRNA from 1 species